rnacentral:rRNA from 1 species
UACGGAGGGUGCGAGCGUUAAUCGGAAUUACUGGGCGUAAAGCGCACGCAGGCGGUCUGUUAAGCUAGAUGUGAAAGCCCCGCGCUCAACGUGGGAGGGUCAUUUAGAACUGGCAGACUAGAGUCUUGGAGAGGUGAGUGGAAUUCCGAGUGUAGAGGUGAAAUUCGUAGAUAUUCGGAGGAACAUCAAUGGCGAAGGCAACUCCCUGGCCAAAGACUGACGCUCAUGUGCGAAAGUGUGGGUAGCGAACAGG